rnacentral:rRNA from 1 species
CACGCUGUAAACGAUGAAUACUAGGUGUAGGGGGUAUCGACCCCCUCUGCGCCGCAGUCAACACAUUAAGUAUUCCACCUGGGGAGUACGGCCGCAAGGCUGAAACUCAAAGGAAUUGAC